AAAAAUUGUUUGGUCAUCCCUCCUUUUCUGCUACGCAGCCAAGGUGACGACUGCUAAGGGCAAGCAGUGGGCAAUGAUACAACAUCCAGGGAUCGCCACAGUGAAUCCUCUGCUCCAGCUCACCCUGUCCCGGGAGUCCUUUUUCUGUCACAGCAGCUCUCUGUAUGUCCUCCUUCACGAUAUCCAUGAACGAAUGAGGCACAAAUGAGGCACAGCUAAGACACCAAUCAGGCUUACUGGAUGGUUUUGACUCUCAUUCAUGCAACCCACCUCCUCCUCAUCUCCACCUCACAGACCCCUCAGUCAGAACUCCAUCCAAGCUUCAGUCUUCAACUUCACCACCACCCGCUUCUAGACUUUGGAGGGUCCUGUCCUAAAUAUGAUCACCGCUGGAAUUUGGUUAUACCACGAUGGGUCA